GAUGAAGAACGCAGCGAAAUGCGAUAAGUAAUGUGAAUUGCAGAAUUCAGUGAAUCAUCGAGUCUUUGAACGCGCAUUGCGCCCCCUGGUAUUCCGGGGGGCAUGCCUGUCCGAGCGUCAUUGCUGCCCUCAAGCACGGCUUGUGUGUUGGGCCUCCGUCCUCCUCCCGGGGGACGGGCCCGAAAGGCAGCGGCGGCACCGCGUCCGGUCCUCGAGCGUAUGGGGCUUCGUCACCCGCUCUUGUAGGCCCGGCCGGCGCUUGCCGACACAUCAAUCUUUUUUCCAGGUUGACCUCGGAUCAGGUAGGGAUACCCGCUGAACUUAAGCAUAUCAAUAAGCGGAGGA
rnacentral:misc_RNA from 1 species